rnacentral:rRNA from 1 species
AGUGAACGCUGGCGGUAGGCCUAACACAUGCAAGUCGAACGGCAGCACAGUAAGAGCUUGCUCUUACGGGUGGCGAGUGGCGGACGGGUGAGGAAUACAUCGGAAUCUACUUUUUCGUGGGGGCUAACGUAGGGAAACUUACGCUAAUACCGCAUACGACCUACGGGUGAAAGCAGGGGAUCUUCGGACCUUGCGCGAUUGAAUGAGCCUAUGUCGGAUUAGCUAGUUGGCGGGGUAAAGGCCCACCAAGGCGACGAUCCGUAGCUGGUCUGAGAGGAUGAUCAGCCACACUGGAACUGAGACACGGUCCAGACUCCGACGGGAGGCAGCAGUGGGGAAUAUUGGACAAUGGGCGCAAGCCUGAUCCAGCCAUACCGCGUGGGUGAAGAAGGCCUUCGGGUUGUAAAGCCCUUUUGUUGGGAAAGAAAAGCAGCAGGUUAAUACCCCGCUGUUCUGACGGUACCCAAAGAAUAAGCACCGGCUAACUUCGUG